ensembl:snoRNA
GUCGAGGUUAAUUCCAAUGGGGGCUUUUUCUGUAGCUCUACCUCGUUGGGAACACCUCAGAGAGUAUAUGAGUGGUUUUCUUUAUUCCCAGAACUAGACGUUCAAUCUGUGGGAAAGAGCUACAAGACAUCU